rnacentral:rRNA from 1 species
UGGGGAAUAUUGCACAAUGGGCGCAAGCCUGAUGCAGCCAUGCCGCGUGUAUGAAGAAGGCCUUCGGGUUGUAAAGUACUUUCAGCGGGGAGGAAGGUGUUGUGGUUAAUAACCUCAGCAAUUGACGUUACCCGCAGAAGAAGCACCGGCUAACUCCGUGCCAGCAGCCGCGGUAAUACGGAGGGUGCAAGCGUUAAUCGGAAUUACUGGGCGUAAAGCGCACGCAGGCGGUCUGUCAAGUCGGAUGUGAAAUCCCCGGGCUCAACCUGGGAACUGCAUCCGAAACUGGCAGGCUUGAGUCUUGUAGAGGGGGGUAGAAUUCCAGGUGUAGCGGUGAAAUGCGUAGAGAUCUGGAGGAAUACCGGUGGCGAAGGCGGCCCCCUGG